UAGCUGGUCUGAGAGGAUGAUCAGCCACACUGGGACUGAGACACGGCCCAGUCUCCUACGGGAGGCAGCAGUGGGGAAUUUUCCGCAAUGGGCGAAAGCCUGACGGAGCAACGCCGCGUGAGGGAUGAAGGCCUCUGGGCUGUAAACCUCUUUUCUCAAGGAAGAAGAUCUGACGGUACUUGAGGAAUAAGCCACGGCUAAUUCCGUGCCAGCAGCCGCGGUAAUACGGGAGUGGCAAGCGUUAUCCGGAAUUAUUGGGCGUAAAGCGUCCGCAGGCGGCCGUACAGGUCUGUCGUUAAAGCGUGGAGCUUAACUCCAUUUCAGCGAUGGAAACUGUAUGGCUUGAGUGUGGUAGGGGCAGAGGGAAUUCCCGGUGUAGCGGUGAAAUGCGUAGAUAUCGGGAAGAACACCAGUGGCGAAGGCGCUCUGCUGGGCCAUAACUGACGCUCAUGGACGAAAGCCAGGGGAGCGAAAGGGAUUAGAUACCCCUGUAGUCCUGGCCGUAAACGAUGAACACUAGGUGUCGGGGGAAUCGACCCCCUCGGUGUCGUAGCCAACGCGUUAAGUGUUCCGCCUGGGGAGUACGCACGCAAGUGUGAAACUCAAAGGAAUUGACGGGGGCCCGCACAAGCGGUGGAGUAUGUGGUUUAAUUCGAUGCAACGCGAAGAACCUUACCAGGGUUUGACAUCCUGCGAACCUCCUGGAAACGGGAGGGUGCCUUCGGGAACGCAGAGACAGGUGGUGCAUGGCUGUCGUCAGCUCGUGUCGUGAGAUGUUGGGUUAAGUCCCGCAACGAGCGCAACCCACGUCGUUAGUUGCCAGCAUUCAGUUGGGCACUCUAGCGAGACCGCCGGUGAUAAACCGGAGGAAGGUGUGGAUGACGUCAAGUCAUCAUGCCCCUUACAUCCUGGGCUACACACGUACUACAAUGCUACGGACAAAGGGCGGCAAGCUCGCGAGAGUAAGCAAAUCCCAUAAACCGUGGCUCAGUUCAGAUCGUAGGCUGCAACUCGCCUACGUGAAGGAGGAAUCGCUAGUAAUCGCAGGUCAGCAUACUGCGGUGAAUACGUUCCCGGGCCUUGUACACACCGCCCGUCACACCAUGGAAGUUGGCCACGCCCGAAGUCGUUACUCCAACCCUUGUGGAGGAGGACGCCGAAGGUGGGGCUGAUGACUGGGGUGAAGUCGUAACAAGGUAGCCGUACCGGAAGGUGCGGCUG
rnacentral:rRNA from 1 species